AUCAUCAAUUUGGUCUGUUAUAAAUGGCUUUUAUCACAGCCAAAACUGAUGAUCU
rnacentral:pre_miRNA from 1 species